GGAGAAGGCUUGUAACGCAAUGGUAAGAGCAUCUGCUUUGGAUGCAGAUGGUCCCAGGUUCAAUCCCCGGCAUCUCCA